UGGUCCUAAUGUUUUGGAAUGCUUUUCCGUC
rnacentral:piRNA from 1 species